AGGACGAACGCUGGCGGCGUGCCUAAUACAUGCAAGUCGAACGGUCUUUCUAUGGAAGCUUGCUUCCACUGAGAAGAUAGUGGCGAACGGGUGAGUAACACGUGGGUAACCUGCCCAUAAGAGGGGGGAUAACAUCCGGAAACGGGUGCUAAUACCGCAUAGUUUUCUUGAUCGCAUGAUUGAGAAAGGAAAGACGGCCUUUGUGCUGUCGCUUAUGGAUGGACCCGCGGCGUAUUAGUUAGUUGGUGAGGUAACGGCUCACCAAGACGAUGAUACGUAGCCGACCUGAGAGGGUGAUCGGCCACAUUGGGACUGAGACACGGCCCAAACUCCUACGGGAGGCAGCAGUAGGGAAUCUUCCGCAAUGGACGAAAGUCUGACGGAGCAACGCCGCGUGAGUGAAGAAAGGUUUUCGGAUCGUAAAACUCUGUUGUCAGAGAAGAGCAAGUUGGAGAGUAACUGCUCCAGCCUUGACGGUAUCUGACCAGAAAGCCACGGCUAACUACGUGCCAGCCGCCGC
rnacentral:rRNA from 1 species